GCGGCCGAUAUCAGAUUAGCUAGUUGGUGGGGUAAAAGCCCACCAAGGCGACGAUCUGUAGCUGGUCUGAGAGGACGACCAGCCACACUGGAACUGAGACACGGUCCAGACUCCUACGGGAGGCAGCAGUGGGGAAUUUUGGACAAUGGGCGCAAGCCUGAUCCAGCAAUGCCGCGUGCAGGAUGAAGGCCUUCGGGUUGUAAACUGCUUUUGUACGGAACGAAACGGUUCCUUUUAAUACAAGGGGCUAAUGACGGUACCGUAAGAAUAAGCACCGGCUAACUACGUGCCAGCAGCCGCGGUAAUACGUAGGGUGCGAGCGUUAAUCGGAAUUACUGGGCGUAAAGCGUGCGCAGGCGGUUAUAUAAGACAGAUGUGAAAUCCCCGGGCUCAACCUGGGACCUGCAUUUGUGACUGUAUAGCUAGAGUACGGUAGAGGGGGAUGGAAUUCCGCGUGUAGCAGUGAAAUGCGUAGAUAUGCGGAGGAACACCGAUGGCGAAGGCAAUCCC
rnacentral:rRNA from 1 species